rnacentral:lncRNA from 13 species
UGCAGUUUUAACUUUGUGCAUUUGGCAGGAAGUGCUGCCUUGCUUUAUCAUGUAUGUGUUUGUCUCUAUGUUUCUUUGCCAGGUCAGCGUCAGAUAGUGCAAGAUGAGGACUGCAUUACAUGCCCUAUCAUGCUUUUACACAGCAGUGCCCUGUACCAAUAAGUGUUCAGUAUGCGGAUGCUAACGUGGUCGUGGCGUAGGUUUUCCUUCUGAUGAGCAGCUGUUUGAGGAGCACAUAUCUCCAUCUUCUACAAGCCGAGAAGCAAAUGGGGAUUGUUGAUGAAGCUGUGGUCUGGGGUUCUGAGGCCAGGCGUCCAGUCCAACCUGGCUUCCAACUAGCUGUGUGCCAUCAAGGUGUCCGCUCAGAAGAAGGCUCCUGACUGAUGAAUGAUGGGAUAGUGCAGGAAUCCUGUUUGGCCUGAUGCUCAGCCCAGAGAUGCCAGUGAUGAGGUGAGAUGCACAUUGUCUUUACUUGGCUGUUUCUGUAAGGACUGUAGGACUAUACUUUUGUCUUUACUUGGUUUUCCUGGAAGCAGAUCCUGAGACAAGGUGCAGUUUGUUUAGAAGGCGAUCCCAGAAAACGCCAGCAGGAGAGCGGGAAAGGAAGCAGGGAGGGAGGGGGCGGGUGGGGCGGGAAAGGAAGCAGGGAGGG